rnacentral:rRNA from 1 species
UACGUAGGGGGCAAGCGUUGUCCGGAUUCAUUGGGCGUAAAGAGCGUGUAGGCGGCCAGGUAGGUCGGUUGUGAAAACUGGAGGCUCAACCUUCAGAGGUCGACCGAAACCAUCUGGCUAGAGUCCGGGAGAGGAGAGUGGAAUUCCUGGUGUAGCGGUGAAAUGCGCAGAUAUCAGGAAGAACACCCGUGGCGAAAGCGGCUCUCUGGAACGGUACUGACGCUGAGACGCGAAAGCGGGGGGAGCGAACAGG